rnacentral:rRNA from 1 species
GACGAACGCUGGCGGCGUGCCUAAUACAUGCAAGUCGAGCGGAUGACAGAGGAGCUUGCUCCUCUCGAUUCAGCGGCGGACGGGUGAGUAACACGUGGGCAACCUGCCCUGUAGAUUGGGAUAACUCCGGGAAACCGGGGCUAAUACCGAAUAAUCCUUCGGACCUCAUGGUCCGAUGUUGAAAGGCGGCAUCUCGCUGUCACUACAGGAUGGGCCCGCGGCGCAUUAGCUAGUUGGUGAGGUAACGGCUCACCAAGGCCACGAUGCGUAGCCGCCCUGAGAGGGUGACCGGCCACACGGGGACUGAGACACGGCCCAGACUCCUACGGGAGGCAGCAGUAGGGAAUCUUCCACAAUGGACGAAAGUCUGAUGGAGCAACGCCGCGUGAGUGAAGAAGGUUCUCGGAUCGUAAAACUCUGUUGUGAGGGAAGAACAAGUACCGGAGUAACUGCCGGUACCUUGACGGUACCUCAUUAGAAAGCCACGGCUAACUACGUGCCAGCCGCCGCCGUAAGAC